rnacentral:sRNA from 1 species
CAAACCAAGAUGGAGUAUGAGUGGAAACCUGACGAGCAAGGGCUUCAGCAAAUCCUGCAGCUGUUGAAGGAGUCCCAGUCCCCAGACACCACCAUCCAGAGAACCGUGCAACAAAAACUGGAACAACUUAAUCAAUAUCCAGACUUUAACAACUACUUGAUUUUUGUUCUUACAAAAUUAAAAUCUGAAGAUGAACCCACAAGAUCAUUGAGUGGUCUCAUCUUGAAGAAUAAUGUGAAAGCACACUUUCAGAACUUCCCAAAUGGUGUAACAGACUUUAUUAAAAGUGAAUGUUUAAAUAAUAUUGGUGACUCCUCUCCUCUGAUUAGAGCCACUGUUGGUAUUUUGAUCACAACUAUAGCCUCCAAGGGAGAAUUGCAGAAUUGGCCUGAUCUCUUACCAAAACUCUGUAGCCUGUUGGAUUCUGAAGAUUAUAAUACCUGUGAGCGUCUCACUCUGUCGCUCAGGCUGGAGUGCAGUGGCACCAUCG